CGGGGAAGGCGCCUCGGCGGCUCGCCGCCGCUCGCGGGCGGAUGUGCAGCGGACAGCUUGGCUGGGGGAUUGAAUGAAAGCAGGUCAGUUCAUAAAGCGAGCUGAACUUCCACCUCUUUCUUUGGGGUUUUGUCGAGUCGAGUAACGAAGGCUGUGGAAACGCUGUUGAAGGGCAGAUCGUUCCCCUUGUGCAGGCUGUUAGUGAAAAGAGCGUGCUGCGUUCAUCCAGAUACCUCUGCUGCUGGAGGACCUGCAGGUGCAUCGCUUUUCUUCUAACAGGAGAGCUGAUAUUAUGUGCCCAAGUACUGGACUCUUCUCAGCCCCCGAUCUCUACGAUGAGUGGGAUAGGCUGUGUAUCACUUCAUUUAUGCUGUUUCACACUGACUGGUACUAGUCUAUGGUGUUUCCUCCAGGAUGUCUGCACCCUUGAAAAUACUUUUGGUAAUUACUGAUAGUGUUUCCUACUUAAUAAUAUAAUCAUAGUUUUUAACAAUUCCCAAUCCCUCAGAUGAGAAUUGCUAAGCGGGGAAAGGGUUUCUAAAUCGUAGAAAAGCCUGCCAGUGUGGAAGCAAAAAGUCCUAACAAACUUUAAGAUGAAAUCUGUUAAAUCAAUACACCUAAGUGCAUCCAACAGCAAGGAGCAUAACCUGAUCUAGGAGUCCAUUCUGGUCCUAAACCCUCAUAUAAAUUGUGUAACAAAAGGAUAAGGAGAUACUCUUGUCUUUAUAUCUACUAAAAUGAAAUGUAUGGCUASAGAGUUGCUGUUUCUGAAUAGUCAGUCCUAUCUUGAAAAGAAAUCUAGACUAAGCCUAGAACUAGUUAAGUGUUCAGAAAGCAUAAUGCGAGAACUCAAUACUAUUUAAUGACACCUUGCAUUCAAUAAAUGAAUACUGCUACAGUGAUGUCUCCUAAGG
rnacentral:lncRNA from 1 species